rnacentral:misc_RNA from 1 species
AAAAAAAAAAAAAAAAGAACAUACAAACCAUUAAUAAUUAAAAAAAAAACAAUUAAAAGACAUGGCUGCCAAAGCUUCUACUAUAGUGUAGCACCUGGGUUAUAUUGUCAUAAAACAAAUCAAAUAAAUAUAAAAUAAUUUCCUUCAAAUUAUUUGUAAAUUUUAAAAUGAAAUAAAAUUAAAAUUAAAAAAUAAAUAAAAAUUAGGAUGUUACAUCUUUAUUUCAUAAUGACACAUCCAUAUAUACAUAUCUAAUUAUAUCUAUUUUAUAAUGACGAAAUUCAUCUUUUAAGCCUUAAUUCUUUUUUUAAAUUAAGCAUUUUUUUAUUGCCCCCUUCAACUUUUAUUAUUUCUUAUAUUAAGCUUCUGAACCUUUACUGUUUUUAGAAUAUAUACAUUUUCUAACUAAUUUAAUAAAAAAGUAUUAAAUUGAACCUUACGGAAAUUAAACAUUUUUUUUUCUCUCUUCCUCCCUCUCUCUCUUAGUCUCAAAUGUUUUCUCUCUCUGUGAAUUUCACCUUCUUUCUCUCAACAAACCGCAAUCCCUCCCUACAAAACCAUUAGUUGCUAUUAGUCCCAAAUAGUACAAAUUUAGAAGAAAACCUCAAGAGUUGCUCUUCUGAUUUUGAAAUG